GGAGCAAGCUGAGCUCAUCUGUACCACACGUACUCAAGAGAAUUUUGACUGUCAGAGUCAAGCUUAUCUGCGAUUCUCAGUUGAGCUGCUGUCCUGUCCUGCUAAUCACCAUUUCAAGAAAGCCCAUCAGGAGAUAGACUCUUGAGGGUCCCUUGGACAGCAAGGAGAUCAAACCAGUCAAUCCUAAAAGAAAUCAACCCUGAAUAAUCAUUGGAAGGACCGAUGCUGAAGCCAAAGCUCCAAUACUUUGGCCACCUGAUGCAAAGAGCUGACUCAUUGGAAAAGACCCUGAUUCUGGGAAAGAUUGAAGGCAGGAAAGGAAGGGGAAGACAGAGGCUGAGAUGGUUGGAUGGCAUCACUGACUCAGUGGACAUGAUUUUGAGCAAACUCCAGGAGACGGUGAAGGACAGGAAGCCAGGUGUGCUGCAGUUCAUGGGGUCGCAAAGAGUCGGACCUGAGUGAGCAACUGAACAAGAGCAACAGCCCCCACGUCCCACCCACGGGCAGUGGAAAGGGACUCAGGCAGCCCUGCCUUCAGGAUUUCAACUGAGUCCAGGGUCUGAGAUUCCAUCCUGUGGGACCUAUUCUAGAUUAUCAGCUAAUGAGACCAAGGGUGGCUGAUGACUAGUCUGCACUGGCUCUUUGUAUUUUUAUAACCUAAUGUGUAGUGCAAACCUAUCUUCUCAGGUAAGCCCUAACCCAGGUCCUGAUUUCCUAAAGGUAACAGAAUCACCAGUACCAGAGUGAACAGGACUCUGAGGUCAGCCAACCCACUGCCUCACUUCCUGGCAAGAAGGUGCACAAAACCUUCCAAGGGCAAUAAGUCCCCUCUCAUUUCUACCUGAGAACACAGCCCACGCCAAGCCCAGUCACUUACUUGGCUACAUUUGGAAUGAUUAGCAGUAAAUUAAAGCCUGCUUCCCUGUGUUGAGGAAGAGAAGGGUUACUGGACAUUUGCACUGUGGUCACUGUUCUGCUUCCUCAUGUCUUCCCUCCCCCCAUCCCCUUCUUGAUUGUGGGCUUUGAGGGUUGGCUCAAGUCUUAACAUCUCCCAGACUCCCCUGAGAAUCUACAGCAGCUGGUGAGGAGGACACCACCCAACAAACUCCCAACACUCAGAUCUUCUCUGAGCCUGCUUUCUGGGGAAGCCCCAAGCUCUGACACGCACUCACUGGGCAAAGUGGUGCCUGAUGGAGGCUCUGACAAAACGAACGUGACAUGUUGCCUGAGUUUAAACCAGCCCAGGUGGCUUCACUGCCCCAGCCAGGAUGCCUCGAGGUCACCCAUCUCCAUGACUAAUGGAGCAUAGCAGAAUACACGCCUUCAGCUACAAAUAUAUAUAAAUCAACACAAACACUCCACCCCGUUGUGACCGCGAGAACACACGCCCUCACAAGCCAGGAGACAGCUUCUGUCAAAGGAAGAGCCGAAUACUGAUCAGCCCAUAAAAACAGAACUGAGAUUGAAGAAACAUCUUAUAACUGAUAAAUGCACGGCUACCGUAACAUCAACAGCUUGGAGUCAACAAAAACUAUAUUGGUUAAAUUAAGUCUUCUACAUAAAGAUGUCAAAUGUUACAACCUCACUAUUAUAGUGAAGAAUAGCUUCAAAAUGUGUCUAAACUGAUGAAUUAGAUGAUUCUAUCCUUAGAUAGGACUUUAUAGAAUCGUCAGUUCUAAAACCAUAUAUUUCUUCUCUAGCAUCGAAUUUCUAUUGGUUUGGGCUGUAUCUUCCUUGCCAUGUCAUCCCAAUACUAGCCAUUUGGACCAUUUUCACAUCUUGCUUCUAACAUAACACAAGUGUCUGUAGUGACUAUUCCUAGAUUUCUUCCUUAAUCAUACAGUGCUAAGAAAUCUGGACACAGUUGAAAUUUGAAUCUGUAACAGUUCUUUCAGAUUUUCUUUGAUAGUAAAGCAAUAGUCUUCCAGGCUUCCUUUUGCUUAAAGUCCUGUAUAUUUUUUGGAUCAGAUUAUUACAGCUCUAGGCUUUCUUUAAAUUACCAAAAUGUUAAAUACUCAUAAGGACACAGAAGUCAGCCCUGAUGAGAAUUCACCUUUUAAAUGAGCUAAGGCAUGAGAUUCAUCGCUAGGAUCAUACACACACACACACCUUUUGGGGACAAUGGGAAUGCUCAAAUAGCUACUAAAUGUGCCUCUAGAUUUAAUCCUGAAAUUUUAUUUUCAGAAUGUCUUUUCAUUACUUACAAAUGUAGCCACAUGAUUUUUCAAUCCAGCUUGUAAGAUGAAAGUAAGCCUUUCUUAAGCAUGAUUUACAUUUCCUGUAUUUAUUCCUUAUAAAUUAUAUUUUAAGCCCAAUAUUCUGAUUUAUGAAGCUCCAUAUCCUUGUAUUUUCAGAAGAAAAAAGGCACAUGUGUCCACGAUUAGAUUCUAAACAAUCCAGUGCCUUUAAUUGUGAAAAAUCUAUGCAACACAGGGAAGUUUGAGGAGAAGAAAAUCAUAUGCCUACAGAAAGAAAUAAUUCAGUAUUACAAAGUCAUUGAAAUUAAGAAAUGGAAUAGGCUUGUCAAAUCAAAGCUUGCAACUGACUCCCAGAUUUAAUGUCAGGGAUGUUGGGUCACCAGAGGUGCCUCCAAUCUUUUGAUGAAGUGGAGAAACUGAGAACGAACAUUUAAGGAGCAGGGCCCUUAAUCAAAGGCAAGUCCUUAUAGAUCAAAAUAUCAGAGAGAAAUAUGUAAGAUGCAGAGGAGAGGCAAAUGGAGAAAUGACACUGAAACAUCAAGCAGAUAACACUUUAUUCGAAAAUUUUCUAGACAGAGAUGUGAGUUCUGUGUGGCUUCUGCGCUGACAGUGUCCAGGGGUUGGUUCAUGAGGGACCUGUUAAAGCCAGAAGAGCCAGAGGGGUCAAAGGAUGAAGGAUAUUAUUGUGUGUAAAAUCCUAACCUUUCAUCUGUGGAAUGUAACCUAAUCCUUAGAAAUCUCCUGUCCUGUUUUCCUUCUAGUAAAGAGCAACGGCUCACAGUAAACAUUCUUCUGAGUAUAUGUGUGUUGGGGAGAGAGGAGAUAUGAAAAUAGGUGUCCUGGGCUGAUAAAGCAUAAACAACAAGGAGCAGAUGCUAGCAUUUACCCAAAUAAUCCGAGCAGAAUUAUCUAAAAAUUAUCUAAAAAAUUUAAGAUUUCACCAUAUGACCAUUGAUAAGACACAUUUUUUGUAAGGCCUGGUCUUGUUUGUCUUUUACUAUUGUCCUCUGCUUAAAAAAAAAAAGAAAAGAAAAAUCUGAUAGUAGGAACUAGUUGCUACAAGCCAUUUAAAAAGAAGAAGCCUGUCAGAAAACAGUGAAAUGGGAUAAAAAGAACUUGCUGGUGAGCAAUCUCUAAAAUUUAUCAGAAUCCCUGUUGAGAGCCCGCCCACACACCCUGCACCCGGAAUUGGGUACACAGCCUCUUUCCUGAUUUAUUGCAUCUCUCCACACAUUGGAGAGAUGAGACCAGCAUCUGCCAUGUAGGAAACACUGUACCUCCAUGCCAGCCUGCCAACUCCUGGAACACAACUCUAAGAGUUCAAAAGGAUUUGUGCAGUUCAACCAAUCUGCUGUUGCAACAGGGCAAAUGAAAACAAGGGUAAAGAGACAAAAUAGGUCCCAACCUGUUGAGCAAAUCAGGCUCUGAACUCUUAGUAACAACCGGGAAUAAAGUCUGCUAUACAUUCAUGUUACAUAUACACAUGCUCUUAUGUGUACAUGUGCAGUAUGAGGUGUGGUUUCUUUUUUUGUUUUUUAAUUAAGAUGUGUAUAGCAGAAUGGUUAAGUGUAGCUGUUUCCACUCACAUAGAUAUAUCAAGACAUCAAGUCAAUUACCUUAAAUAUAUAUACUUUUUAUUUGCCAAUCAUAACUUAACAAAUAUGGAAAGAAAAAGAGUAGGAGUUCUGGAGUCAGACUGCCUGGGUUUAAAUUCUAGCUGUUUCACUUAUUUGCUUGAUCAAUUUGAACAACAUUUUAAGUCCCUUUAUCCUCAGUUUCUACAUGUGUUUUUAAAAAAGGAUAAUAGUUAUUUAAUAAAGUUGUCAUGAGAAUGAGGAUUAAGUGAGAUGAUAUAAAUAUGUACUAAAUACCUGCCACACAAG